rnacentral:rRNA from 1 species
UACGUAGGGAGCAAGCGUUGUCCGGAAUCAUUGGGCGUAAAGCGCGCGUAGGUGGCUUCGUAAGUCCGUUGUGAAAGUCAAAGGCUCAACCUUUGAAAGCCGAUGGAUACUGUGAAGCUAGAGUACGGAAGAGGCGAGUGGAAUUCCUGGUGUAGCGGUGGAAUGCGCAGAUAUCAGGAGGAACACCCGUAGCGAAGGCGGCACUCUGGGCCGAUUCUGACACUGAGGAGCGAAAACGUGGGGAGCGAACAGG